rnacentral:rRNA from 1 species
UACGGAGGGUGCGAGCGUUGUCCGGAAUCACUGGGCGUAAAGGGCGCGUAGGCGGCCUGAUAAGUAGGGGGUGAAAUCCUGCGGCUUAACCGCAGGGCUGCCUUCUAAACUGUCAGGCUCGAGCACAGUAGAGGCAGGUGGAAUUCCCGGUGUAGCGGUGGAAUGCGUAGAGAUCGGGAAGAACAUCAGUGGUGAAGGCGGCCUGCUGGGCUGUUGCUGACGCUGAGGCGCGACAGCGUGGGGAGCAAACAGG